rnacentral:rRNA from 1 species
AGGACAUGGGCGGAACCGAUCCAUUAUGCCGGUGUGUGAAGAGGCUUGGGUUGUAAAGCAUUUAAGCGACGAGGAUGCUACCUGGAUUAAUACUCUGGGAUAGUGGACGUUACUCGACAGAAUAAGCACCAGGCUAACUCUGUGCCAGCAGCCGCGGUAAUACAGAGGGUGCGAGCGUUAAUCGGAUUUACUGGGCGUAAAGCGUGCGUAGGCGGCUUUUUAAGUCGGAUGUGAAAUCCCCGAGCUUAACUUGGGAAUUGCAUUCGAUACUGGGAAGCUAGAGUAUGGGAGAGGAUGGUAGAAUUCCAGGUGUAGCGGUGAAAUGCGUAGAGAUCUGGAGGAAUACCGAUGGCGAAGGCAGCCAUCUGGCCUAAUACUGACGCUGAGGUACGAAAGCAUGGGGAGCAAACAGGAUUAGAUACCCUGGUAGUCCAUGCCGUAAACGAUGUCUACUAGCCGUUGGGGCCUUUGAGGCUUUAGUGGCGCAGCUAACGCGAUAAGUAGACCGCCUGGGGAGUACGGUCGCAAGACUAAAACUCAAAUGAAUUGACGGGGGCCCGCACAAGCGGUGGAGCAUGUGGUUUAAUUCGAUGCAACGCGAAGAAACUU